AAAUUGAAGAGUUUGAUCAUGGCUCAGAUUGAACGCUGGCGGCAGGCCUAACACAUGCAAGUCGAACGGUAACAGGAAGCAGCUUGCUGCUUCGCUGACGAGUGGCGGACGGGUGAGUAAUGUCUGGGAAACUGCCUGAUGGAGGGGGAUAACUACUGGAAACGGUGGCUAAUACCGCAUAACGUCGCAAGACCAAAGAGGGGGACCUUCGGGCCUCUUGCCAUCAGAUGUGCCCAGAUGGGAUUAGCUGGUUGGUGAGGUAACGGCUCACCAAGGCGACGAUCCCUAGCUGGUCUGAGAGGAUGACCAGCCACACUGGAACUGAGACACGGUCCAGACUCCUACGGGAGGCAGCAGUGGGGAAUAUUGCACAAUGGGCGCAAGCCUGAUGCAGCCAUGCCGCGUGUAUGAAGAAGGCCUUCGGGUUGUAAAGUACUU
rnacentral:rRNA from 1 species